GACGAACGCUGGCGGCGUGCCUAAUACAUGCAAGUAGAACGCUGAAGGAGGAGCUUGCUUCUCUGGAUGAGUUGCGAACGGGUGAGUAACGCGUAGGUAACCUGCCUGGUAGCGGGGGAUAACUAUUGGAAACGAUAGCUAAUACCGCAUAAGAGUAGAUGUUGCAUGACAUUUGCUUAAAAGGUGCAAUUGCAUCACUACCAGAUGGACCUGCGUUGUAUUAGCUAGUUGGUGGGGUAACGGCUCACCAAGGCGACGAUACAUAGCCGACCUGAGAGGGUGAUCGGCCACACUGGGACUGAGACACGGCCCAGACUCCUACGGGAGGCAGCAGUAGGGAAUCUUCGGCAAUGGACGGAAGUCUGACCGAGCAACGCCGCGUGAGUGAAGAAGGUUUUCGGAUCGUAAAGCUCUGUUGUAAGAGAAGAACGAGUGUGAGAGUGGAAAGUUCACACUGUGACGGUAUCUUACCAGAAAGGGACGGCUAACUACGUGCCAGCAGCCGCGGUAAUACGUAGGUGGCAAGCGUUAUCCGGAUUUAUUGGGCGUAAAGAGAGUGCAGGCGGUUUUCUAAGUCUGGUGUGAAAGCCUUCGGCUUAACCGGAGAAGUGCAUCGGAAACUGGAUAACUUGAGUGCAGAAGAGGGUAGUGGAACUCCAUGUGUAGCGGUGGAAUGCGUAGAUAUAUGGAAGAACACCAGUGGCGAAGGCGGCUACCUGGUCUGCAACUGACGCUGAGACUCGAAAGCAUGGGUAGCGAACAGG
rnacentral:rRNA from 1 species